CAAAAUAAUAGUGGCUGGCACAUGUGCACUGUUUGCCAGGCAUUCUUCUAAGCUUAUAUAUAUAUUGGCUUGUUUAAGGAAUUCAGCUUAGCCAGACCAUAAGAAAAUUGGAAUCUGAAGUCUUCAUUUGUAUCUUCCAGGAUUGCAUGGUAUUUUAAAUUUCUGCUUCUCCUUAGUUCCUGAGAACUGGAAAAUUAGGAUGCACAGACUCCUUUUCUUUGUAUCUUUUAGGGGUUGCAUAAUAUCGCUCAUGUGUGUUACACAUUAAUUUUCCUCCUAACCCUUUCCUGUUUGCACAUGGCCAGAGAUGACCUGCCCAGAGGCGGCUUCAUAGGAGAGAUCAGCUCCUGGGAGUGGAAUCUGAGCACUUUAGCUCACUCUAUGGGUUGGUCUGAGUCAGAGGUCUUCCCUGUGUCCAGUAGACUGUGGUGACAUCUGUAUGAGUCAUGAGGUACAAUCUUUACCAGAGACCAUCCUGAAGUGAUUUCAGACUUGGAGAAUGGGCUGUCAGUCGUCCCAAAUCACAUCUAGGAACCUUGAAGAAUGGGGCCUCUGCAAGAGGAGGUGGGCUGGGUCUUCUUGGUGAGUUUUGCAGCCAACGUCUGCCAGGAUGGUGUGUGGUAAUGGUGAGCCAGGCAAGGCCGGGGUGGAGCCUCUGUCCACUGCUAGGAGGCUGCAGAUUCCUGAAGGUUCUUCCAGACGUGCCUCUAGAUCUCCCCAUCAUUCCUGUUGGAGUUGAUUUCUAACUGUUCCCUCUCUUUUCACAUCUCUCUCCUCUACACCUCAGACAGAAUUACCCUUCAUAAAUACACAUUGAUCCUAUGGAUUUACUAUUAAAACUUCAUUCAUUGAUCCCCAUGGCUUGCAGCAGCAGCGUUUACGGGGUGCCAGGUACACUGGUCAGUGUGACCCAGUUGGCGAGCUGGUAGGAGGGGGCUGUAGGUGCCACCGCUAAAGGGCAGGAAGCGCCAUCGCGGCGCCUUAUCCCUGGGCUCCAGCUCUGGGGAGUUGGAGUCACUGAGGGAAACCGAGGGAGGCUGGCCUGAGGAAUUCUCACCGUGGCGCCUCCUCUCCAGCCGCGGCCCACCUUCUGCUUCAAUUCGCCUCCUGUCAGCCUUAAUAUUCUCUCCCGGUCUAGACACCAUUUCCUGAAAGUCCCCCUCAUCCCUCCCUUGUUUAUGUUCUUUUCUGUGACCUAAAAUGCUCUUGCACACCCUCCUUCCCAGCCUGCAGAGACUCGUCUUUAUGAAUCUCAUCUUGUUUCUUGGCGCAGCUUCCCUUUUCCCAUCUGGCACGGGAAGCCGGCUGCUCCUCCUGGUUUCUCUGUAUUGGACACGUAUUGAUCACAGCGCUCAGUGUUGCUUAGUGAGGCCUCUGUUCCUCCCACCUCACCGCGGACUCCUGGAAGAUUCUGAGGAUAAUGCAUGGACGUCUCUGAGGAGGCACUCUUCUGCCCAUCAUGCACUGUGCUGAGGGAAGCCAGAUGACAAGAUAAACAGAUACAUGAAUUGCAUGCAUUUCUGUAUAUAUGUGCAUUUGUAUACAUACAUAACUUCACAUCAAGAAAUGCAUAUUGACAGAAGCAAAGAAAAUGCUGUAAUGGAGAAUAAAAUGGAGAACAAGUCUGUUGGAAGAGGAGACAUCUGUGCUGAGAACUGAAAGAGAAUACAAUCUCUCUUCCAAUUUCUCUUCUCUAAGAAAAUAGCUUUAUGGUUUAUACUCAUAAGAUUGUUUUGAGGAUUGAAUGAUGUGAAUGAUGUAAAUGAUGUAACAAUUUUUACAGAACAUCUAGUAGUAUCACUGAUGAUUCCCCAAUGCUUACAAUAGUUUCUUCACAGCGGUGGCUGCAGAACAGCGGUGGCUGUAGAACAGCGGAUUUUGGUGACCCGCAAAUGCUGCUGCCUGAUCAUUCCUCUGGAAGUUUUGUCUCAGAGGAGUACCCAGCCGUG
rnacentral:lncRNA from 1 species